AUUAGGUAGACGGUGGGGUAACGGCCCACCGUGCCGAUAAUCGGUACGGGUCAUGAGAGUGAGAACCCGGAGACGGAAUCUGAGACAAGAUUCCGGGCCCUACGGGGCGCAGCAGGCGCGAAACCUUUACACUGCACGCCAGUGCGAUAAGGGAAUCCCAAGUGCGUAGGCAUAGAGCCUACGCUUUUGUCCACCGUAGGGAGGUGGACGGAUAAGGGCUGGGCAAGACCGGUGCCAGCCGCCGCGGUAAUACCGGCAGCCCGAGUGAUGGCCGAUCUUAUUGGGCCUAAAGCGUCCGUAGC
rnacentral:rRNA from 1 species